GAUCAUGGCUCAGGAUGAACGCUAGCUACAGGCUUAACACAUGCAAGUCGAGGGGAAACGACAUCGAAAGCUUGCUUUUGAUGGGCGUCGACCGGCGCACGGGUGAGUAACGCGUAUCCAACCUGCCCACCACUUGGGGAUAACCUUGCGAAAGUAAAGACUAAUACCCAACUGAUAUCUCUAGAAGACAUCUGAAAGAAAAUUAAAAGAAUUCUAUCGGUGGAUGGAUGGGGAGGUGCGU
rnacentral:rRNA from 1 species